rnacentral:lncRNA from 1 species
UGAAUAUUUAAAAUAUGGCUAGUGUGACUGGGAGCUGAAGUUUCCAUUUUAUUUAGACUUAACUAGCUCAAAUUUAAAUAGCCACAUGUAACUUAUGGCUUGGUAUUGGACAGCAUAGAACAUCUAUAGAAAAUCAAAAGCAGUGGGUAAAAAAUGAGGAAUCAGAAGAAGUAUUUCAGAAAUGUGAACUAUUGUCAGCUGUGAAGGUUCCAAGUGCCUUCUAGAUGGCGUAUUUAUACCUCAAAUCUCUGGAACUGGGUAGCAGAAGACGUUGCCUGGGGACUAUAUAAUUCAGCUCUGAUGGGGAUAUACAAUGACAAACAGAGGUAAAGUUAACCUCUACCUGUGGUUCAGGAGGAGGAGCGCCCCCUGCCUUCUGUCCCUAACCUGCUCAGAACAUCAUUGACAAUGAGCUGUCCAUGCUUGAGAAGAUCUGCAGAGCCAUGAAAAUAAAGAGAAGGGUCUUAC